UACAGCCAUAUCCCGUUGAAACUCCGGUUCCCGUACGAUCACCCAAGUUAAGCAACGUCGUGCAUGGUCAAUACCUAGAUGGGUAACCGCUUGGGAAUACCAGGUGCUGUAAG
rnacentral:rRNA from 1 species